AUGAACGCUGGCGGCAUGCUUCACACCUGCCAGUCGAACGGGAAGUGGUGUUUCCAGUGGCGAACGGGUGAGUAACGCGUAAGAACCUGCCCUUGGGAGGGGAACAACAACUGGAAACGGUUGCUAAUACCCCGUAGGCUGAGGAGCAAAAGGAGAAAUCCGCCCAAGGAGGGGCUCGCGUCUGAUUAGCUAGUUGGUGAGGUAAUAGCUUACCAAGGCGAUGAUCAGUAGCUGGUCCGAGAGGAUGAUCAGCCACACUGGGACUGAGACACGGCCCAGACUCCUACGGGAGGCAGCAGUGGGGAAUUUUCCGCAAUGGGCGAAAGCCUGACGGAGCAAUGCCGCGUGGAGGUGGAAGGCCUACGGGUCGUCAACUUCUUUUCUCGGAGAAGAAACAAUGACGGUAUCUGAGGAAUAAGCAUCGGCUAACUCUGUG
rnacentral:rRNA from 1 species